UGAGUAACGCGUGGGUAACUUGCCCUUAAGUCUGGGAUACCAUUUGGAAACAGAUGCUAAUACCGGAUAAAAGCUACUUUCGCAUGAAAGAAGUUUAAAAGGCGGCGUAAGCUGUCGCUAAAGGAUGGACCUGCGAUGCAUUAGCUAGUUGGUAAGGUAACGGCUUACCAAGGCGAUGAUGCAUAGCCGAGUUGAGAGACUGAUCGGCCACAUUGGGACUGAGACACGGCCCAAACUCCUACGGGAGGCAGCAGGC
rnacentral:rRNA from 1 species